GCAAAGAUACAAGUGAAGAUUUUGUAUGAAUUUGUGAUUGUUUCGAAGAUCAUUAGCUGUGUGGUAUUGAUUUAUAAGUUUUAAUUGUCUACCAGGUCGGCUCCUUUUCUAUGGAGAAACUUCUUAAAAUCUUAUAUGAUAUUACUCAACAUUUUAAGACAAGUAAAUCUCGGUAUGACGGGCAGAGAUCUCAUGUGCUGGCUCCAGCUCACACACAGGAAUGCUGGACUAGAGUUCAUUAAGCAUGUUUACAGGAUUCGGGGCUGCAGUUCCUCAUAGACCUGCUGAAGAUGUAGGUCUACAAACUGGUGGAUCCUUACUCUGUUGCCAAAUUUAUACAAACUGGUGGAUCCUUCAUGAACUAUUACAUCUUUCACGGAGGAGCAAAUUUUGGAAGGACAGCAGGUAGUCCUUUCACAGCAACUAGUUAUGACUAUGAUGCCCUAAUUGAUGAAUAUGGAGUAGAAGUCACUGACAAUCCAAGUUACAAGUUAUUUGGGACUCUACAUACACUACUUUGGUUUGAGGAAAAAGUCGUAGGUUUGUUCCAUACCGGGGAACCAAGACAACAGGAACAAAGGAAGGACUUUGCUUUUUGUCGAUCCCAGUCGAUUGUUACUUUCUGCAUUCACAAGUAAAAACAGAAACUAAAACGGUUAUAAAUAUUCUAGGAAAUGAAAAGCUAAUUUGCAAGAUAUCUCAUGUUGUAGCUUUCACAUGGUCAUCUUUUAUGUUAGUCUCACUCGCUAGACGACGCUGCUAUAUGUCAGGAUGCCGCUUAUACAGUUCAGACAAUGAGAAUAAAGGAUUACAAGGGAGCCCAAAUAUAGUCAUUUGAGAGAUCUUCAUAAAGCGAGCAAGCUUUGUGAACCAGCUUUAGUUUAUUCCGAACCCAUCAAAUAAUUCUUGGGAGCAAGCAAGAGGCUUAUGUCUUCAAUUACCAGGCAGGAGGUUGUGCUGCAUUCCUUGCAAACAAUGAUGCAAACUCCGAUAACUGUUCCUUCAGAGGCUUAAAUUACCACCUUCCUCCUUGGUCUAUCAGCAAUCUUCCGGACUACGGAAACACUGUUUUUUAACACUGCAAGGGCCAGAUUCCAACUAUAGCUCAGUUUCACGACUACUCAUAUCCCUUAAUUAUCUGGCAAGCAAAUUUAAUUAGGCAAAAGCACUGCUUAUAGGAGUUUGGAUAACCCUGAAGUGACAUCUAGUAACAAUGUGAAGUUCAUAGUUGGCAUUAACAAGAUUGCCCUGAAUGUGGGCAAACAAUCUGGGACAUGGGAUGCGGGGGUUCUUGGUCCAGUCACAUUGACGGGUCUCAAUGGCAAACAAAGAGAUUUAACAUGCAAAAAUGUUCCUACAAGGUUUUUCUUAUGUCUUCUCCCUGCUUUGAUUUCAGGACAUUGUCAUAAAAAUGUUUAACAUCAAGGAUGAAUUGGGGGCCGUGGAAACUAAUUGGGAGCCAUGACACAUUUUAUACCCACACCAAAAGAAAUAUGGGGCUUCUAAAAUGAUGGUUGGUUUUACUGGUGAAGCUUUGAAUCUUAAUUCGCUCAGUGAAACUUCCUCAGUCGAGUGGAUGAAAGGAUCUUUGAUAGCUCGAAAUCAACCCCUAAUACAAGGUGAAUUUGGGUGGCCUGAUGUAGAACGAAGGUCCCAGAUAUCCAAAAUUCAUACUAGAACUGUGAACUUGACAUUAUGUUUGAACUCUUGGCCCGCCUUUGCCCAAAUCCACUGGAGCUGAUAUCUGUAGUGCGAAUACCAAGGCUGGAGUGGAGUGUAUGCAAUUCGUGCACGUAGGAAAAGCGUGACAGAGGACUUCCUUGAUGCUGCCAACAAGGUCAUCAAGGGUUACAAAAAAUUCAGUGCGACACCGAAGUACAUGUGGUACAAUUGAAGAAUUCUGAUGGCUAUAGACGAUGAUGAUAAGUAGUAGUUUACGGAAGAGGUACUCGGAUGGGGCAAUGAUCAUGUGUUGUUUCUUUUCUUGAGAUUUAUGUAUCUAGGAGUUAUAUUUUGGGCCGGGUCUGAUCCUGCAUUCCAUCUCAACUUUGAAGAUGCUACCAUCUUCGUUUCUGGAAAAAUGCUACUUUCACUUUUUCAGUUUGGCCUAUAUGUUAUGGCUCCUCUCUUAAUUUGCUUCACUUAUACUGAUUUUACCCGUCUCAAGAUGUACAAGGUUUUCUAUUUUAUUCACACGGUUUGUCAGAACAUUAAGGAAUGAAGCCACUUUAUAGACUUGAAAAUGUACCUAAAUUUCAUUUUAUUUGCAUCAUUUGUUUAUUGAA